rnacentral:tRNA from 1 species
GGUGGAGUGGCCGAGUGGCGAGGCGGCGGUCCGCAAGACCGUACACAGGGGUUCGAAUCCUUUCUCCACCU